rnacentral:rRNA from 1 species
GACGAACGCUGGCGGCGUGCUUAACACAUGCAAGUCGAACGAAGAGCGAUGGAAGCUUGCUUCUAUCAAUCUUAGUGGCGAACGGGUGAGUAACGCGUAAUCAACCUGCCCUUCAGAGGGGGACAACAGUUGGAAACGACUGCUAAUACCGCAUACGAUCCAACUCGGCAUCGAGGAAAGAUGAAAGGUGGCCUCUAUUUAUAAGCUAUCACUGAAGGAGGGGAUUGCGUCUGAUUAGCUAGUUGGAGGGGUAACGGCCCACCAAGGCGAUGAUCAGUAGCCGGUCUGAGAGGAUGAACGGCCACAUUGGGACAGAGACACGGCCCAGACUCCUACGGGAGGCAGCAGUGGGGAAUCUUCCGCAAUGGACGAAAGUCUGACGGAGCAACGCCGCGUGAGUGAUGACGGCCUUCGGGUUGUAAAGCUCUGUUAAUCGGGACGAAUGGUUCUUGUGCAAAUAGUGCGAGGAUUUGACGGUACCGGAAUAGAAAGCC